rnacentral:rRNA from 1 species
CCUACGGGAGGCAGCAGUGGGGAAUCUUGCGCAAUGGGCGAAAGCCUGACGCAGCCAUGCCGCGUGAAUGAUGAAGGUCUUAGGAUUGUAAAAUUCUUUCACCGGGGACGAUAAUGACGGUACCCGGAGAAGAAGCCCCGGCUAACUUCGUGCCAGCAGCCGCGGUAAUACGAAGGGGGCUAGCGUUGCUCGGAAUUACUGGGCGUAAAGGGAGCGUAGGCGGAUAGUUUAGUCAGAGGUGAAAGCCCAGGGCUCAACCUUGGAAUUGCCUUUGAUACUGGCUAUCUUGAGUAUGGGAGAGGUAUGCGGAACUCCGAGUGUAGAGGUGAAAUUCGUAGAUAUUCGGAAGAACACCAGUGGCGAAGGCGGCAUACUGGCCCAUUACUGACGCUGAGGCUCGAAAGCGUGGGGAGCAAACAGGAUUAGAUACCCUGGUAGUCCACGCUGUAAACGAUGAGUGCUAGUUGUCGGCAUGCAUGCAUGUCGGUGACGCAGCUAACGCAUUAAGCACUCCGCCUGGGGAGUACGGUCGCAAGAUUAAAACUUCAAAAGGAAAUUGACGG